rnacentral:tRNA from 1 species
GCCUGGGUGGCUCAGUUGGUUAAGCGUCUGACUUCACCUCAGGUCACGAUCUCAUGGUUCGUGGGUUCGAGCCCCGCAUCGGGCU